GCACUAGUCGUCUAAUAGGUUAGGACUACAGACUUUCAAUCUGUCAACAGGGGUUCGAUCCCCCUCUAGUGUACCA
rnacentral:tRNA from 1 species